rnacentral:tRNA from 1 species
GCAUUGGUGGUAUAGUGGUGAGCAUAGCUGCCUUCCAAGCAGUUGACCCGGGUUAGUUUCCUGGCCAAUGCA